CCUGUCCGCCAGCCCGGACGCGAACACGGAACAGCGGGACCGCGCGGACGCUCUGUCGGCUUUCGAACCGCGCAACUACCACUUGACUAGUGCCAAACCUUCAGUUGCGAUGUAACCGCCUACGUAACCGUUACUUAUGACAAGAUACAAUAAAACAAUUGUGAUGAUCAAAUGAAGGCGUCCAAAAUCGAAUUAGUUAAAGAUUUAACGUAGCUUAGUUAGCAGAGUUAGUUGUAGCUAUGAUGUGCGCGGCGGUGGGCUGCGUGGUUAGGGUAUAGCGAGAUGGCGGCGGUCGCCGGCUUGUAUGGACUGGGCGAUGAGCAGCGCGGCAGGCACCGGCGAGGCCAGGCCAACGCGGAGCGCUCGGAGUCCCGGGACGAUAACACCGAGGCGUCGCUGCCAAAACUAUACAACCAAGAAGAAGAGCAAGGCAAGCCGCCGCAGGGCGGUGUUGUCACCUUUGAGCCGAUACAGCAUGAUCACGACUUUUGCGAGAGGGUCGUGAUCAAUGUAAGCGGCCUUAGAUUUGAGACACAACUUAGGACAUUAAACCAAUUCCCGGAGACACUCUUGGGCGAUCCAUCGCGCAGGAUAAGAUACUUCGACCCUCUUAGGAACGAGUACUUCUUUGAUAGAAACAGACCGUCUUUUGACGCAAUCCUCUACUACUACCAGAGUGGCGGGCGGUUACGUCGCCCAGUCAACGUGCCACUCGAUGUAUUCUCGGAAGAAAUUAAAUUUUACGAACUUGGUGAACAGGCAACCAACAAAUUCCGUGAGGAUGAGGGUUUCAUCAAGGAAGAGGAAAAGCCUCUCCCCUCAAACGAACGCCAACGCAAAAUCUGGCUGCUCUUCGAAUACCCCGAGAGCUCCCAAGCCGCCCGCGUCGUUGCCAUCAUCUCCGUCUUCGUCAUCCUCCUGUCCAUCGUCAUCUUCUGCCUCGAGACUUUGCCCGAAUUCAAACACUACAAAGUCUACAACACCACCACCAAUGGCACCAAGAUCGAAGAGGAUGAAGUGCCGGAUAUUACUGAUCCAUUUUUCUUAAUAGAAACUUUGUGUAUCAUCUGGUUUACCUUCGAGUUGAUAGUGCGAUUUUUAGCAUGUCCGAACAAAUUCAACUUCUUCAGAGACGUGAUGAACAUAAUAGAUAUCAUAGCUAUUAUUCCCUACUUCAUCACGCUUGCUACCGUCGUUGCUGAAGAAGAGGACACGCUGAAUCUACCGCGGGCUCCGGUCUCGCCGCAAGACAAGUCGACGAACCAGGCGAUGAGCUUAGCAAUCCUGAGAGUGAUACGUCUCGUGCGAGUCUUUCGGAUCUUCAAGCUGUCACGUCAUUCCAAGGGUCUGCAGAUUUUAGGACGCACCCUCAAAGCUUCUAUGCGAGAACUUGGAUUAUUAAUAUUCUUCCUCUUCAUCGGUGUGGUGCUGUUUUCGUCUGCGGUGUACUUCGCGGAAGCGGGAAGCGAAAAUAGCUUCUUCAAAUCGAUACCUGAUGCGUUUUGGUGGGCGGUCGUUACCAUGACGACCGUAGGAUACGGAGACAUGACGCCUGUCGGCGUGUGGGGCAAGAUCGUGGGGUCGCUGUGUGCGAUCGCUGGUGUGCUUACGAUCGCGCUGCCGGUGCCCGUCAUCGUGUCCAACUUUAACUACUUCUACCACCGCGAAACCGACCAGGAGGAGAUGCAAUCACAGAACUUCAAUCACGUGACUAGCUGUCCUUAUCUGCCGGGCACCAUGGGCGAACCAUAUUUAGUUUCAGGACCAAUCAAGAAGACUUCUGUCAGCGAUGACUCCUCGUCUGAUAUGAUGGAGUUCGAUGAAUCAGCCCUCGUAACCGAUCCGCACUUAGAGACCAACUUACGUCGGUUACGAGAGGAAGAGCGGCUGCUGUUAGAACAACAAGCGGCCAUGGAGGCGGCAGGCACCUGCGAUGAUAUCGCCACUCUAGAACAUCUAGAUGCCCUGCGUCUCAACCAGAUGAAACAGCAUGAACUGAUGAAACAACAAGCCGCGUUGGCAAAGCGCAACGCGCGUGCCCUUGCGGCUGACAACGCGCGACGCGACCCGCGCCGACGGGCGCCCUGCAACGUCCGCGUCAACCAUCUCCACUGCGCGAGCGGCACGGACUCCAUCGAAACAGACGUCUGACCAACGGUCGAAGUAGAAGUACUCGUACACCAUCCCGCGGGACAGUAAAAGCUGUAAGGCGAGCGAGGCCGGCGUGUGGCGCGGCCGCCUGCCGGCGCGCUCGCCGCCCGCGUGCCACGUCUGAACUCCUCGCCACGGACUAUGUGCUUCUACGACAAUUAGUUAGAAAAGUAGUCUCCGAUGUUAUUAUCUAUUAGUCUACGCUUGUACCAUAUGAGACCAGAUUUAGUAAUAGUAUGGUUUAUUCCCAUCUUUAAUAUUGUUCAUCUGGGGAUGUGAGCCUUUUCUCCCUCCGUGUGAUGUUUGAUUUUACUAAGUUACUUUAUGAGAAAACUAUGAUAAUUUGAUUCAGUAAAAAAAGGGAAACAAUAAAAAUUUUUAAUGGAACAUCUAAUGGUCUGAUAACUUCACCUGUCAGUAAUUUUUUAAAGAUUCAUAGAAUUGCAUGGGGACGCCACAUCCUCCUUUGUACGUCUAUCUUAAAAGAUGGAAACAAACCAAUUAAACGGCUUAUACCGCUUCAACACUUUAUACACUUCGACACUUCUGUAAUAUUAGGAAUUGUUCUUCUGACAUAUGUAAUAGAAAUAGGCCUACAUUAUAUCAUUAGAUGGUAAUAUACAUAAUUGAGACACUGAAACCGAUAGAUGACAAUAUUAAGGAUGUGACAAUAGCAUGGCAGCUCAGGGCGCCUGCGAUCCCGAAUAGGAACUCUCUGACAUGAGCCACGACCGGACAGCGACCAGUGCCGCCGCGGCGCGCAGCCGCAUCACGCGGCCGGCACUAACAUCAAUCUAAGUAUUUCAUGAAAUUUUGAAUAAUUCAUGAGUGCUUUCGGACCGACGAUUUCAUUGAAUUCAAAUCAUGCCUCAGUAGAUACAAGGCUUAUACUCCAACGGAAUGUGAUGCAGCGGAUAUAUUUAGGAAGAGAUGGUUUUGACGAGGCAUUUAGAACGAGGUUGCAGACAACCUCGCAUGGAAACACAGAUUAUUUAUAUUACAUGUAUUCAAUGUUGUAAAUCUAUAUAAUCACAGCCGCGACCCCUUAUCCCUGUAUAUAUUGUUGUAACAGCCUCGGCAACCGAACGGACUCCUGCAGACGUAUGUCCUUUAUAUGCCUAUAAAUAUAGAUAUACAUAUUUCAUAUAUAGCAGUUUAUCGAUGUUGUGUUAUUCAUAAGUGUGUUACAUAUUUUAUUCAAGGGAAUGCAGAUGGUUGUGACAAGGUUGAAAACGUUACUAGAAGUUACGACUGGCGUAGAUAAUUGCAUAUCCAGAAAUAAACCGAGAGGAUCGCUGCUGACCAAUCAUUGUGAUAGUCAGACUGUCAACGACUGCGUUUAGGCGUUAUUGUUAUCGUUUAGUUAAUCUUUGAGCAAUAAAUUCAUAUCUAAAUCCUUUUCAAAUGUUAUAUUUCUCCAAUAUAAAUUAUCUAUAUUUAAUUCGUAAAACCAGCGUAUUUUCAAUAAUUCAUUGGAUUAAAGAAUUUCUAUAAUAUUCGCUUGCUUUAAAAGCUGUUUUGUCUUCAAUACGCAAUGCAAUUUAGGCUCGUUAUGACGUACAUAUCUUAUGCGGGAAUUUGUGAGUUAUAUUUAAAACUUAUUGAUGUGUUCGAAAAGUUUUUUGGUCGAAAUUUUCCAUUUGAAAUUUCGUCUCAUUGUCAAUUUGCUUGGGAGUAGGAAUAGAACGACUCGGCUUGGUUGCAGUACCAGUUGUUUUGUGAACUCGCCCCUCGGCUAGUGACACCGGGGCGUAGCGGGACAGAGCUCACAAAAUUGCUUCUAUGGCAACUCGACGGACUUUGUUAAUUAUAGUAGAUGUUAAUAGAAUCAAAGAAUAAUUUCGCCAUAUCAUUAUACACAUGUCAUAGCGUUAAACAUUUAAGUAAAUUACAUGUUUAUUCUCUUAGAUUAAAGUAAAUUAGGAAUUAGUAGUUUAAGAUUUAAAGUGUUUAAUUACUAUUUCCACACAAUUGCCUACUAAAGAAUGUCUCGAUUGGCGAACAGUCAAAUUAGAAAUGGAUUUAAUUUUUAAAUGAUAUAUAAUGUAACAAAAGCUGCCAAAAUUUAACACUAUCGCUCAAUUUCUUUGAAAUUAAAUUUUUAAAUUUUUAUCAGAGUAGAAUAUAAGUACAUUAAUGGAUGCAUAUGCUAUAGUACAAUAAUACGUAUAGAAGCUUAAAGGGAUUACGCUUAAAUCAUUCAGCCACUUUAUAGAUUCUGUAUUUCACGGAUGGUCUUAGCAGAGCUCUAUUUAAGUCACUUUAUCGCUUCUCAGUCAAAAGUUACAUCUAGAUAAAAAGUAUCAUUUUUAAAACGGCUGAUGGUAAUUUAGUAUCCUUUGAGGGCGCCUAAGUCCGUUAAUUCUUCUGUAUACAUGUCAGUACAAACAGUGCCAUGUCCAUGUGAUGACGAAUUUUCGAAUACAGAGAGUCCCGGAAUAGUUUUGGUUGUCAAUAAUAUCGCCAGUUUCCACAAUAAUGCUCGGACACAGGCGCAUUCUCGCACGCGCGUGAGUCCGGGCGGUAAACUUAAAUGUUCCAUUCUUACGAGAGCUUCGGUAUUUUGGAAGAGUUUGCUAUACUUUAAUUAUUAUGCAGAAUUUUGAAUAAACUAAUUAUAUUAUAGACAAUUUAAAAGAUGUCGUAGAUAGUGUUGAGAUAGACGGGACGAGGGCCUUUUACUCGGAAAAUAUUUACACUAUCGGCCAAAGGUCACCGAGGCUGUUGCAAGCACCGUCUAUAAUGAAUGUGUCAAUCUAUAUGUGUUUAACUGUAGGUAUAUGUGUCUAUAUACUCAACUAGCGCACGGGUCCACUGACUGACGAGAUACAGGAAUAAAAUUAUGAGAAAGAUUGGAUAUAACGUAUCAGAUGUUUAAUUUUAGCGUAUUAAGGAAAUUUUCUUAUAAAUACGUAUGGCGUUAACUUUGAUUUGUUUCAUUUGCUACGAAUUGUUAUCACGUUGAAGAAGAGAUGAUGUUGCGGAAAAUAAAAGACGGAGGUGCUAUUUUGUUCAAAAUUAUACACGCUUUCAAAAUUGUAUUAGAAGCAGUUUAAGGCAACAUUCGAGCAUCCCGAGGUGCGGGAAUGGCUCGCGACGUGUUCCGCCGAGCGUGUCACGCGCGCCGAGGGCCAAGUCGGAUCUGUAAGGCAAGACUGAGCUACAUUCCAAUGUUAUGUAAAUGAGAAGUGACGAAGUUACGGAUUGUGAAUUUCUCAUGUUGGCCAAAAUUGUAUUUACGCCGUGUUUAUAACGCGUAUUAUAAUUUUUGCUCAGUAUUACUAGUUGAUAUGAGGGCGAGAUUGUAAAGUCACGGACCCGCUGCGGAAAGUACGGCUGUUCGUUCCCUUUAUAUACUGGUUCAGAUAAAGCUAUAGAACAAAUACUAUAUAGAUUCCAAUGUAUCGAAUUAGAACAAUUUGGAGAUACAACAUAUAGUGGUUUAUGCUGAAAGUUGAAAUAAUGCUGUUUCGCUUUUUUUUCCCAAUUGUCACUGUACAAGCGAGAGGCAAUAUUUCAAGAUUCAAUUUAAAUUAUUAUCUUAUUGUAGAAAAAGUUGUAAUAAUAGUUGAAAGAUCAAUUUGCGAAAUGGACAAAUUGUUAGUACCACAUAGAGCGAAUUUAUGUAGACAUGGCGAUAUAAAGGGAACAAGCAUUAAACCCAACUUCGUUUUAAAUGGCUCCGAGGAAUCUUGAAAAUUUAUUUCACUUCAAGAUUCUCUUAUAGUAGUUUACAUAUACCUAGAUUUCAGUGAAGAAAUCAUUUUGUUUUCUAUCUCGUAGUUAGGGCGAAGUUGGUUACUAUUAAAUGUAUUAAGUCUGAAGAGACAGACUGUAUAUAAUAUGGUCUUUAGUGAACAACUGUAAUCAGUAAAAUUUUAUCUGUAUAUUUGUUUUAAGAUUUAUAGUUAGGUAUCCGCAACCUUUUAGCGUUGUAUAUCUUGUGGAUAUACGUUUCGCUUGUUUGAUUGUCGUCGCUCGCUUCACGUGUACUCCGGAACUGGGCGGGACGCCGGCACAUACAGUCUUCAGCACAUCUCUGUAAUAGCCAUACAAAUGGUCAAACAAAUACAUACAGGAUUUAUCAUUCGCAUUCACUCGGUUCUAAUGAUUUGCAUAAAUGCCAUUCAGGUGCGGUUAUGUAAUAACAUAAAUUAAACAUUUAGGUUAACGUUUUCUUAUAUAUUUACAAAUAAGCCCGCAAUUUGCGCCAAUGUAGUAAACGCACUAAGCAAAAUAUCAAAUUACGUUUUUACACUUGCCCUCUCCGUCCAGGACAAAGCGUGUUCAUUCUAUCACUAAAUUAUAUAAUUAUAUAACCUUUACUUUAUUUCUAAAGUAUUUUCAAAUUGUCUACAUUAUUUAAAAAUUUACACGUUUUUCAGCUUCAUCAUAAAAUAGGCUUCAGUUUAAGGUGUAUCUUAUAGAUCUGGAAUGAACGUUUAAAAUUUUAUCGCUUUUGGGCUUUUUUGGUACAAAUUAAAAUUGCAUAAGAUAAGAAUGGAGUACUAGAUACAUACCUAAUCUCUCAUAAAAUUUAAGGUUUUAUAAUGUAAGAGCUUUUCUAGUAUACUUAAAAAUGAGAUCUUAUGAGAUAUUCAGAAUUUUUCGCGGUAUAUCAACAUUUCCAUCCAGUAUUAUUAGAUAAAAUAGAUGUAAUAACAAUGCUAUAUCUAGCUCCUAUAGUACGGUAACUAAAUAGGUUCAAUUGGCAGUCUGGUUGUAUUUCUAAUUCAUAUCUGGAUUCUAGUAAGUCCCGUUGUAGACGGGCGUGUCUCGGUUGUCAUAGCUAUCCUGAACGACCACAUCAUUCGAUUUAUUAGCAGCUUUGCGGCACAUUUCAUUGAAAAAUAACACUAUAAGAAUAUCAAUGUUAUGAAAAUGUUUAAUCAACAAUAAGAAGAUUUUACGAAACCACCUGCUCCUGAAAGAUGGCCUUAAUAUCCAACUCAGUCUAAAUAAAACUAUUUGUCAAUAAAAAUGCUACCAUCAAUAGCAGCCAUUGAGAUACGUCUACUUAAACUGUGCCCGAGAUGAAAUAUAACACACAAGAUUAUUUUUCUGGCAUUAAUACCUCAGUUAUGGGAAUAGUCAAGGCCGCUAAUAAAUCUAAUUAUGUAAUAUGUUUUUUGAAAUGUCUCGCGUCUGUGCCAAUUAUACGCUUUAGGUACAAAACAAAAUUAUUAUUUCGCAAUGUUGUUUUUUGAGUAAACAAUUAAUCUUAAAUCGGCUCUCAAGCUUAAUAUUAUAUUGGACUAUAUACCUCUAUUAAUUACAAUUAAAUACACUCAGUGGUUAUGAAUUAAAGUUUCGGAUUCCACGUGAAGAUGCGAUUAUAAAGUACGUGUUUAUUACACUUUUACUAAAGCAUAUUUUUCUUAAUUUUUAUAAGUGUACACUAUAAUUUAGAACACGUAUUCCAACACAAUGCUACUGCUGAUUGCGGCGUGAGUGUUAUUUGAGUUUGGGCAUUUGGUAUUUUGCCAAUAAUUUUUGGUUGUAACAGCUAAACGGUUAACGAAUGAAGCGAUUUCUGUAAGGCGCUGGCAGAUUUCUGUCAAUAUAAAUAUAACACGCAGGGCCGCAGCACUAACAUUGUGUAAAUAGUAUAAUAACAAACACAGUGACUUUGUUUGAAUCAAUUUCGGCAAACGUGAGUGUUUCUAAAAUCCACUGCUUAUCUUGGUCCCAACGCCCCGCGUUAAAGUGACAACAUAGUAUUUUAAAGGGCAAGUCAUACAUCUGUUAUGAGGAAACUGUUUGCAACGUUUUGUGAAUUCAAUUAAUCUACGAAUACUUUGAACUUUGGUAAUGUAGUAACAGUUCAUAACAAUAUUGUUAUUGUUUUCUUAUAAACUUACAAAGAAAUACUCACCUAAGCUAUCUGUGAAUGAACUUGCAAGUGAAUUUAUAAAAGCUCGAACCAAAAAAUAUAAAUGAAUUAUUUUAAUAUAAGAAAACAGUAAAAAAUACUUGUUUCAUUAUGACUCCCUAGGAAUAUCUUUACUAUGUUGUCAUACAUAGUUUUUUGCUAGGUUCGGUGGCGUCACUUGUAUUCAGAUAUAUGUGAAGAUUAUAUUAUUAGUAUCAAUGUUGUAAGGACCUUAAUUUGGAAUAAUAAUGGUACGAAUGGAUUGCGUGAUUCGUUACAUCAGCGAUACAACACCGAUAAUUCUUCACUAAUAGGUAAUUAAUAUUUAUUUAUUUUUCCCAUAAUAUUUCUGUGCGUAAUUAUGUAUAUAGAAUAUGUAAAACCAAUGUAAAAAAUAUCUACUUAAAUCGAUGUGUAGUUAUCGGUGAUGUUGCAGCUGAUAUGAGUUUGAUGACCGUAAUCUCAAACGGUACUUUCAAAUCGAAUAUGAUGAAUUCUUCGAGUUCUCUAUAUCAAAAGUAAGAACUAUGUACCGUCUGAGGUUAUGGGGGAGUGAUAGUAUAAUUAAUGUUAACAUCGUGAAAUGUUAUGAACCUCGUUGUAAAAGCAGUGGCUGAAUUCCUUGCGUGUGGUUUGUACGAGGUAACGUUGAAAUGUUUUCGGGAUGGAUCUGUAAAUGUCAAUUUGUAUAACUGUUGGUACGCGUCUCCGCUGCCGAGCCCUACCCACGCUUACCUACCCCGUGUGACUGAAGCUUUAACAAUACUUAUGUUUACAGCUACGCCGAUUUUUCUUUAUUCCUUAUACGUUGUAAACCCGAUAUUGUAUAAAUUAUUCAAUAAAGUGUAA